CGUAGGAGUUCGAUCGAAGUCUACCUGCAAUUAAAGUCAGGGGCGAAGUCCGGCUCCCUUAGGAGUUCGGACGAAGCUUACCAGCAGUCGAGGUUGAGGAUGAAGCCCGGCUCCCGUGGGAGUUCGGGCGAAGCCUUCCAACCGUUGAGGUUGGGGACGAAGUCCAGCUCCAGUAGGAGUCCGGGCUGAGUCUAUCUGCAAUCAAAGUCAGGGAUGAAGUCCGGCUCCCUUA
rnacentral:lncRNA from 1 species